CAGUCGCCGCGGUAAUACGUAGGGUGCAAGCGUUAAUCGGAAUUACUGGGCGUAAAGCGUGCGCAGGCGGUUUGUUAAGACAGAUGUGAAAUCCCCGGGCUCAACCUGGGAACUGCAUUUGUGACUGGCAAGCUAGAGUGUGGCAGAGGGGGGUGGAAUUCCGCGUGUAGCAGUGAAAUGCGUAGAUAUGCGGAGGAACACCGAUGGCGAAGGCAGCCCCCUGGGCCAACACUGACGCUCAUGCACGAAAGCGUGGGGAGCAAACAGGAUUAGAGACCCGUGUAGUCCCUGUCUCUUAUAC
rnacentral:rRNA from 1 species